UUUCUUAUAUAAGUAUUUAUGCAUAAAAUAAUUCUAUUACAAACGAUAAAAUAAAGUCAAAAUCUUUUGAUAUAAGUUAUUUCCAUAAAUUAUCUCGCAGAGCUUAUGAAUAUCGGCUUAAAACAACUUAUAGACAUGUCAAAAACUGCCACAAACAAUUUAACAAGUGCUUAUAUUAAUAUAUAAACUCAAAUAAGUCAAUCUGCACAUUCCUAAAACUCUUACAACUCCCAUGAAAUCCCCAAAGUUUGCAUUUAAAUUCCCUACUUUUCACAUAUUUCAGCAGCAAAGUCAAGAAAAACAAAAAAAAAAUAACAUGAAAUUCCAUUUUAUGUUCCAAACUUUAUCUCUCUCUCUAGAGCAAGAAAGUAAAGAAUCUGAAGAAAACCCAUGAAAGCAAACAACAAAAAGACUGAACCUGUGCGACCACCAGCACCAGUAACAAGCACAGAACUCUUUGAAUUUUCAGCAGCCAUAGCAACAACAAGACUUGUUCUGAUUCCAACCCUUUUCAGACCCUUAUAAUUUCUCAACGUUGCAAGUGAAAUCAAAGAAGAAGAAGAAAGCCUUAAUGAAGGAGAGGAAACAGGUAAAGGAAGUGACUUUGCCACAUAGCAAUAUUUAUGGCAUUGGUUGGGAAAAAGUGUGGUGGAUGAAACAAAAGGGACAUGUGUAGCCAUACCAAUCAGAGUAGUUGACACAGUUUCAUUGUUAUUAAUAUUAUGGAGAAAAUGGAUAAGUUUUGAGGUGAGUGAUGAAUGAAACGUUUCAAUUCAACAAUAUUAUAUAUAGAAUGUUGUUGUUUUCACAUUUAUAAUAGAACUGAGACUAGACAUUGUUGUUUCUGAAUCUGGUUUGUGCCUCUGAUGUUGGUGAAACACUUUAUAUGGUUUUUGAUGCUAUUUAUGUUUGCUUUCAGAUUUUCUUAUCCGUUUACCU
rnacentral:lncRNA from 1 species